GGGGCGCGGCUCCGGGAGAGCUGGAGGCGGAGGUUCAAGGCUGGCGGUGCUGGGUCUCUACUCCUCGCUGGGGGGGUUUGUUUGUUUGCUUUGCUUUUCCCUCCAGCUGGGUCCUUUGUUUUCUGCCGGCCUGUCCAGUGCUUCAGCCCUCUGGGAGCCCACACUGCUGAAGGCGGCAAGGUUGUGAAAGCGAGGAGGCGGGUGGGGUGUAGAAGAGAACAACCCGGUAUUUGGAACCCCAAGCACGUGGCACGCGUGGGAUGCUCCGUAAAAACUUGGAUUUCCAGACCCGCUAAUCGCUUACUUCUAUCCUGUGGCACUUCGAACUUAAUAUGGCCAAGACGGAAUUCAUCCAUUUUUCCAAACUCUGCACGGACUCCUCCUGUGCCCCCUGACUCAUAGGCACAGCGUUGUAAGCAGCAUGUCACAAGGUUGUGAGUUCGAGCCCUAUGUUGGGGGUGGAGAUUACUUCAAAAAAAUAAAAUCUUAAAUAAAAAGAAUAACCUCACAUGGCUCCACACCCAGCAUGGAACACAAUGCGGGGCCUGAACCCACGACCCUGAGAUCAAGACCUGAGCUGAGAUCAAGAGUCUGAUGCUUAAACAACACUUAACCAACUGAACUACCUAGGUUCCCCCUCCCACUUCUUGAAUAUAGACAUUCCUUAUACCACUGCCUUAAA